AUAUUCCUGCGGUGCUCGAGAUGGACUGCGAAACGUGGUUCCUUAAAACUAAUUUUAGGGAGUUCAAAGCCGAGAGCAAAAUUCGAGUAGUCUACGACAGGCCUUCAUAGUAAAGGAAGUCGGAUGGCUAUCGUGAGAACACCCACUUAUAAAAAUUAGGUUCACAACGUUUCCAAAAAGUCCGACGACACACGCGGGAUUUUU
rnacentral:other from 1 species